GAUGAACGCUGGCGGCGUGCCUAAUACAUGCAAGUCGAGCGAACAGAUGAGGAGCUUGCUCCUCUGACGUUAGCGGCGGACGGGUGAGUAACACGUGGAUAACCUACCUAUAAGACUGGGAUAACUUCGGGAAACCGGAGCUAAUACCGGAUAAUAUAUUGAACCGCAUGGUUCAAUAGUGAAAGACGGUUUUGCUGUCACUUAUAGCUGGAUCCGCGCCGCAUUAGCUAGUUGGUAAGGUAACGGCUUACCAAGGCAACGAUGCGUAGCCGACCUGAGAGGGUGAUCGGCCACACUGGAACUGAGACACGGUCCAGAGUCCUACGGGAGGCAGCAGUAGGGAAUCUUCCGCAAUGGGCGAAAGCCUGACGGAGCAACGCCGCGUGAGUGAUGAAGGUCUUCGGAUCGUAAAACUCUGUUAUUAGGGAAGAACAAAUGUGUAAGUAACUAUGCACGUCUUGACGGUACCUAAUCAGAAAGCCACGGCUAACUACGUG
rnacentral:rRNA from 1 species